rnacentral:rRNA from 1 species
AACGAACGCUGGCGGCGUGCCUAACACAUGCAAGUCGAGCGCGAAAAGGGCAACCUGAGUAGAGCGGCGCACGGGUGCGUAACACGUGGGUAAUCUGCCUUAGAGUCGAGGAUAACCUUCCGAAAGGUUGGCUAAUACUCGGUAAGCUUACGGUGUCUUCGGACGCUGUGGGAAAAGUAGGCCUCUGUUUACAAGCUUACGCUCUUAGAUGAGCCCGCGGCCCAUCAGCUAGUUGGCGGUGUAACGGACCACCAAGGCAACGACGGGUAGCUGGUCUGAGAGGACGAUCAGCCACACUGGAGCUGAGACACGGUCCAGACUCCUACGGGAGGCAGCAGUGGGGAAUUUUCCACAAUGGGCGAAAGCCUGAUGGAGCAACGCAGCGUGUGUGAUGAAGGUUUUCGGAUCGUAAAGCACUUUCGACCGGGACGAAAAACCUCUGGCUAACAUCCAGGGGCCUGACGGUACCGGGAGAAGAAGCACCGGCUAACUCUGUGCCAGCCGCCGCAGUAA